GUCGAGGGGUAUAGAGAUACUUGUAUUUCUAGAGACCGGCGAACGGGUGCGUAACGCGUAUGCAACCUACCUUUAUCAGGGGGAUAGCCCAGAGAAAUUUGGAUUAAUACCGCAUAAUAAGAGUGAUGGCAUCAUCAUUUUUUGAAAGAUUUAUUGGAUAGAGAUGGGCAUGCGUAGGAUUAGCUAGUUGGUAAGGUAACGGCUUACCAAGGCGACGAUCCUUAGGGGCUCUGAGAGGAGUAACCCCCACACUGGUACUGAGAUACGGACCAGACUCCUACGGGAGGCAGCAGUAGGGAAUAUUGGUCAAUGGACGAGAGUCUGAACCAGCCAUGCCGCGUGCAGGAAGACGGCCCNUCUGGGUUGUAAACUGCUUUUAUAUGGGAAGAAAAGACUCCUGCGGGAGGCAUUGACGGUACCAUAGGAAUAAGCCACGGCUAACUACGUGCCAGCAGCCGCGGUAAUACGUAGGUGGCGAGCGUUAUCCGGAUUUAUUGGGUUUAAAGGGUGCGUAGGCGGCCUGUUAAGUCGGUGGUUAAAGGUAGCAGCUUAACUGUUUUACAUGCCAUCGAUACUGACAGGCUUGAGUUAUCAGAAGGCAGGCGGAAUUUCUGGUGUAGCGGUGAAAUGCAUAGAUACCAGAAGGAACACCUAUUGCGAAGGCAGCUUGCUGCAGAUAAACUGACGCUGAUGCACGAAAGCGUGGG
rnacentral:rRNA from 1 species